UGGGUACGGGCAGACUAGAGUGCGGUAGGGGAGAUUGGAAUUCCUGGUGUAGCGGUGGAAUGCGCAGAUAUCAGGAGGAACACCGAUGGCGAAGGCAGAUCUCUGGGCCGUAACUGACGCUGAGGAGCGAAAGGGUGGGGAGCAAACAGGCUUAGAUACCCUGGUAGUCCACCCCGUAAACGUUGGGAACUAGUUGUGGGGUCCAUUCCACGGAUUCCGUGACGCAGCUAACGCAUUAAGUUCCCCGCCUGGGGAGUACGGCCGCAAGGCUAAAACUCAAAGGAAUUGACGGGGACCCGCACAAGCGGGGGAGCAUGGGGAUUAAUUCGAUGCAACGCGAAGAACCUUACCAAGGCUUGACAUAUACGASAACGGGGCAGAAAUGGUCAACUCUUUGGACACUCGUAAACAGGUGGUGCAUGGUUGUCGUCAGCUCGUGUCGUGAGAUGUUGGGUUAAGUCCCGCAACGAGCGCAACCCUCGUUCUAUGUUGCCAGCACGUAAUGGUGGGAACUCAUGGGAUACUGCCGGGGUCAACUCGGAGGAA
rnacentral:rRNA from 1 species